AUGGGCUGCCUCUUCCACAAGGUGGAGAGGGAUUUCCUGGCACAGACCGGGGACCCAACCGGAACCGGCACCGGAGGUGAUUCUGUGCACAAGAUCCUUCAUGGAGACCAAGAUCGGUUUUUCAACGACGAGAUCCGUCCGGAAUUGAGGCAUUCAAAGGCAGGCACCAUCGCCAUGGCAGGUGCAUCGCAGUUCUACUUCACCUUGCGGGACGGCGUGGACGGUCUUGAUGGUAAACACACUGUGUUUGGGAUGGUCGCUGAAGGAUUAAACAAUAAACAUACAUAUGUCUUGGACGAUCCUUUCGACGAUCCUCCCCAGCUCGCAGAACUCAUCCCUACGAAUUCUCCUGUGGGAAAGCCACGUGAUGAGAUUGCAGAACAGCGCUCCGAGGUCCCUUUCGAUGAGCAGCUUGAGGAGAUGACCUGCUCUGAAGAUGCACUCUCUAAUAAUGUCGUCAUCGUUAGCUGCGAUCACUGCGGCGGACACAUUCCAGGAGUCGAACAGGCAGACAAUGUCUUGUAUGUUUCUGAACUUAACCCAAUUACACAAGACGAGGAUCUGCGUACAAUCUUUUCUCGUUUCGGAACCGUGACAUCGGCUGAAAUAAUUCGUGACAGCAAGACUGGAGAUAGCUUAUGCUAUGCUUUCAUUGAAUUUGAGGCAAAGGAGGCCUGUGAGCGUGCAUAUUGUAAGAUGGAGAAUAGCCUGAUUCAUGACAGGAGGAUCCAGGUUUAUUUUACAGUAGGUGUUCCAAAACUGUGGGGUCGGUUCUGGCAAAGCAAACAAAAAGCAAAUAAAGAUGGGCGCCUCAAGUGUGAUGCCCCAGAUCACCUGGCCCGAGAUUGUGAUCAACGUGUUGAGGAGGAAAACAAAGGCACCAAUUCUGUUGUGAAAGAUCAAAACACUCACAGAGGCGGGAACAACCGCAGAAGUUAUGAUUUAGUAUUCGACGAUGACGGUACUAAUGCUGAUCUGGAAGAUCGUCCAGGUGCCGAUCGAAAUAAGAUACGGAAAGUAGAAGCUUCCCCCUCGGGGUGA
rnacentral:rRNA from 1 species